rnacentral:rRNA from 1 species
AACGGCUAGGCAGACUAUCGUGCAGCUCGAGCGGCAGCGGGAAACUACCUGGCUACUUUUGCAGGCGAGCGGCAGAGGGGUGAGUAGUGCCUGGAAAAUUGCCCAGUCGAGGGGGAUAACAGGUGGAAACGACUGCUAAUACCGCAUACGCCCUACAGGGGAAAGCGGGGGACCUUCGGGCCUUGCGCGAUUGUAUAUGCCCAGGUGGGAUUAUCUAGUUGGUGAGGUAAUGGCUCACCAGGGCCACUAUCCCUAUGUGGUCUGAGAAGAUGAUCCGCCACUCUGGAUCUGACACACUGUCCACACUCCUAGGGGAGGCCGCUGUGGGGUAUAUUGCACAGGGGGGGAACCCCUGGUGCCCCCAUGCCGAGUGUGUGAAAAGGGCCUUCCUUAUUAAAAAACACUUUCCGCGGGGAACAAAGGUUAUUAUAUUUACUUCCGCCGUAUGGAAUUUUCUCAAAAUAAAAACACCAGCUUAAACUUUCCUACUUACUCCAGUUAUUUAGAGGAGGGCACUUUAUAACAAUAAACUCGUAUUAUCUCCCUUAUCUUGCCGAUAUCACAAAAUUAUAUUUAUAUAUAGAAUUUUCUCUCCCCUCUAUUUCUUUACAUUCUAUCAUCUAUAUAAUUCUUAUUAUGUUUACCACACCAUUCCUCUUUCCUACAUCUAUACUCUUUCAUAUUAUUUCUUUCUUAUUCUUAAUCUCUAUUAUCUCACUAAAUAUUCCUUCAUUCUUAUCUUUUAUUUAUUUAACAUUCAAUUCAUUUUACUAACUUUUUUCUAACUCACUCCAUAUUUAUUAUUUUUUGAUAACUUUCCUAACUCCUUUCAAAUUUACUAUCCUC